CUUUGUUUUUUUUUUUUUUUUUUGCCCCCACUAACCCCCUUUUCUGUUUUUGAGUUCUUCCCCCUUUGUUGAGUUGUUUGACUGAUUCAUGUAGUUCCACCAAUCAUUUGUGAUGUGCCUAUAGACCGAGUUGUAACUGCAAUGCUACAUAUGUAUUCCUUGUUCGGUACACAGUGUGAUGUAACCAGCAACUCAUUUGUCUGUUCAAAAUUUUACGUGCUCACAUGUAUCCAUACAUAGUGUACAUAUGUUUUGCCAUAAAUUUUAAGACUAUGGAUUGUACUGUGAAUAUAGGACAUCAAUAUAGUAGUCCACUUUGAAUUAGCAAGGCACCUUUAUUGUAUUUUUACCUUUGAAUGACAGCAAAAAAACCUUAUAAUGCUACCCAAGUGCCAAAUAUUCACUUCUUUGUGUGUGUUCAGGUAUCUGUUACUGUUGUUCUCUCUGUCUGUUCUUUUUCUGGUUCUUGUUAUUUUCUUUAUGUGUGUGUUCUUGCAUCUCUGUGCGUUGCAACCACCAAGAAGACCUAAAAAUGUGUUGAGAUCUCUACAGGAAGCUAGCUGGAAUACAUGACAAUACUACAACUUUGAUACCUACAUGUUCAAAUAUGAGGAAGGGCUGUUACAUUAGGGGUCCGUUAAAGGAGGAGUUCACAUUUCCUGCAAGUUCUGCUCCCUUCAAUAGUUGUCAUGCCUCUACCAUUGUUGAGGUGGGCAAAGAUCACUUUUUAGUUGCCUAUUUUGGGGGUACCAUGGAGGGGGCGCCUGAUGUGAAAAUUUGGUUACAGACAUACAAAGACGGUAGUUGGCAAUCACCCAUCAUUGUUGAUGAACAAUCUGAAGUUCCUUUGUGGAACCCUGUAUUAUUCAAACUACCAUCAGAGGAGUUGCUACUGUUCUACAAAAUUGGUCAAGAAGUUCAGAAGUAAACUUUCCAAUUUCCAUGUAUUUCUGUUGAACUUUGCAGUUUCCAAGUCAUGCUUUUCCAAAUCUGUUUUUUUUUUUUUUAAUAUUUUUACGAAUUUCAUGUGUUUCCAUCUAAUAUCAGGAUCUAAGUGUACUAAGGCUCCAUUUGGAUUUGUGUGAAUUUCAAAUGAUGAGGUAUUUGAAUUUGACAUUUUGUUGAAUUUUUAUGGCUUUUAACUUGAGACACAAAUUCAAGUUCUCAUUCAUUUAAAAUGUACGCCCACCCAAAUGAAGCGUAAUAUAAUUUCCAUACAUACCAUGGAAUUCAGGAUUCAUACAUUAUUGAAGUUUUUGCAAAUCCUACCACAAGAUAAAAAUUCAGGCCACAUGGAAUGAUUGCAAAGUUAAAUGUUCCAGUUCGUAAUCCUACUGAAAUUGAACUAAAAUUUGAUCAUUCAGAAACUUGAUUUUCAAUAUCUAGAGGCAAUGGUUAUAUAUUUUCAGGACUAUCGAUACAUUGAAGGAUCUUUCAUGCAUAUGUAUCAGUUGAAUAGCUAAAGUAAGCUGGGUUAGAGUUUAUGAGGUUAUUGCGAUUCUCAAUCAAGUAUAUUGUUAGCGUUUUGUAGUUUUCUUGGUGAUGGAAUUAAACCAAGUAGUGUUUAUUCCUAUGUUCUAUUUCACGGGUCUCCAGGUUUCCCUUUGAGAAUAUGGUCCUUGAGAGGGAGAGGAAUGCUUGGGCUUACAAGGCCUAUGCUUAGUCAACGUGGGACUGUGGCAUCAAGUACAUUGUUUGUUCCUUAUCUUUUGUUAUGUGCUACGCAUAAGAAAUUGGAGAUAUUCGUUUUGUUUGAGGAAAAAUGAUAAGAGUACAAUUCAUUGAGCCAAUUAUAUUUGUGCAUAUUGGCUGAUCUUCUAUUAUUUUCUGUGUCAUGUUGAAAUUAUUUUUUGUAAUUACUUGCUGUUUGGGAUGAAAUAUAUUUGUGGCUUCAUAGUUUUUAAGAUGUUGCAAUAUUUUAUGUAAUUACUACAAUUUUGCUUUAGAGUUUGAAAAGUUGUUAUGUUAUAUUCUACUUUACAGUCCACUAUGUGGAAAUAAGACCUUGGGUUUGGCUACUAGGUACUGGUGUAUCUUCUCUACUCCUACUCACAAUUCGCUUACUGAAUUUCAGAUGGAGUGGAUGCAUGAAGCGAUCGUAUGAUAAAGGUGUUACUUGGACAAAGAGAGAACAACUUCCUCCUGGUAUAUUAGGACCAAUAAAGAACAAGGUAUAAUUUGAAAAUGAAAGCCAUCAUAAUGGAUGUUUAUAUCAGGAAGGAUGCAGCUUUAUUGUUACUGAUGGGAUACCCCUGAAAUAUGCGGACUCUUUUUGCAGCCUAUCUUGCUAGAAAAUGGACUCUUGCUUUGUGGAUCAUCAGUAGAAAGUUGGAAUUCUUGGGGUGCAUGGAUGGAGGUUGUAACAACUCCACCUGCAUGAGCACUUGGAAUCUAGUAUUGUUUGAAUAGAGCAGUACAUGUAAUUUGAUGGCUUACAUGGAACAGGUAACAGCAGAUGUUGGAAGGUCAUGGAGAAAGUAUGGCCCAAUCUACAUUGAAAAUACACCUCUCAGUGUGAUUCAACCAGUCCCAUUCCAAACUGCAAAUGGGACAUUGCGUGUUCUACUCCGAUCCUUUACUGACAUUGGUAGAAUUUGUAUGUCAGAAUCCUAUGAUAAUGGCUUGAAUUGGGGUUAUGCAAAGCCAACUGAGCUCCCCAACCCAAACUCAGGUAUUGAUGGAGUUAAACUAAGGGAUGGCCGUCUCUUACUUGCUUAUAACACAAUCUCAAGGGGUGUGCUUAAAGUCGCUGUGUCUGAAGAUGAUGGUGACUCAUGGUAUGAUGUUAUUACAUUGGAGGAAAAUCCAGAAAUGGAAUUCUCCUACCCAGCAGUUAUUCAGGGUAGUGACGGAUUUAUUCACAUAUCUUACACGUACAAUAGAACACAGAUUAAGCAUGUUGUUCUUCAGCCAAAUUGAUGAAAGAAGCAUUAUUGAAGAAUUCAGAUGCUACCAUAUCUUUGACAUCUUCUGUGGGGGACUGAUAGAAGCAGCCCAUUAGCGAAUCAGGAAGACUUGGGCCAAGAUCAAGCACCAAAGCCCUUAAGGGUAUAUUAUAGAAAAAAGCUGGGAAAGAAGAAUGAGUUGGCAGGAAUAGAAGAUUCUGGCAAUGAGCUGAGUCAUUGGGAAGUUAAGCAGUUAGAGGAAAUUGCGGAUGAAGAAUCGCAUGGCAAUUAGUACUGUUGAAGCAUUUACUUUGUAUAUAAAUAAUGAAAAAUUGCAGAGGGGAAGGCAGGGAUUUAUGUAUUUAGCAAUUUGCUAAGAGCUAGCUUGAAGCUGGUUGGGGAGAGUGUCUCCUGGGUUGUUGGGUUUAUGUAUUUAGCAUUUUUGCUAAGGGCUAGCUUGAAGCUGGUUGGGGAGAGUGUCUCCUGGGUUGUUGGGUUUAUGUAUUUAGCAUUUUUGCUAAGGGCUAGCUUGAAGCUGGUUGGGGAGAGUGUCUCCUGGUUUGUUUAUUUUAAAGAAACAGAGUAACUCUAAUUGCUGAAUGAGCUUUCUCUACUUUAUAAAAAAACAAGAUAAGUUCCAUUUCUAUUCUGAUUAUUUACAAUUUUGUUCUUCACUCUAUCAGGGACUGCUGUGAAGAAAUAAUGAAAAAAGGAUGAAGAUAGAUAUAAAUGAGAAAUUCAUAUCUCCCUUCCAGGAGACAUUUGAUGAUCAAAUUCACAAAUUUUCUAUGGAAUUGGAAGGCUCCAGUUCAUUAUAUAGAAAUGUCUUCAAUUUCUGAAUUGUCGUUUCUAUUGCUUUUCAUUUUUCCUGCUUGGAUUUAUUUUUUUCUUUAGUGGCAUGCUGUGGAAACAAGCUUCUUUGUAAAUUCAGAUUCGUGGCAGGAGAAUGUUAGCAUAUCUACGCAGAGUAUUAUUGAGAGAAUCUAAUUAAGAAGUUGCUCCUGGAUUCUUGAGUUUCUUUGGCAUUAGAAGAAGACGUAAUGGGAUCUUUUGAAUGUCAUUGGUCCAUCUUAUAUCCAGGUGCUUGGUUCAUGUUGGAUUGAGUGAUGGAAUAAUUUCCAUAAUUUGGUGUUGCAAGUUUCAGUGAGUAGGUCUAUCAAUUUAAUGAAUAGAGAUAUAUCACGGCUUCAGUUAUUCAGUACUAUGAGCUUGAAUUUUAGUAACCUGUGUGCUAUUUGCACACAAGUGUGUACAUGCACACCGGUAAUAUAGAAAUGAAACUGUUUAUGCAUCUACGAUAUAGUUACCUUUGCAUGCUCUGGUAAUUUGUUUAUUUUUUGUUACUUCUCACCCACUCAUUGAAACAAUACUUAAUUUCUUCUGCUUAAUGGCAAUGGAUAGCAGAACUCACCUUUGUUAUGAUGUGAUUGAGAAAUAUUUACUAGAGCAUCCAUCCUGAAUUAACACAGAUUAUUGUGAUGAUGACUUGACGCCAGUGUAAAGGACAGAGUUUACAGUCUCUGUGGCAAUAAAGCUUGUGUCAUAACGAAACCAUAGAAUGCCAGAACUGAACUGAUUUGCUCCAAGGAUGAAAUUUUAAAGAGAAAUUUCUGCAACCCAGGUUUGGAUCAGUUGGUUUUGGUAUCAUUUGAAGACAAGAUGUCCCUCUGGAAAUGGGAGAGUUGCUUUCUAUAAUCUUAUUGUGUUGUCUGUGUUGUAGAUAAAUUAUUUUGUUCUGAUAAAAUAAACCAUGAUCAGAUUUGUGUUUUGCUUGUUUAUAACAUAUUCAUAUGCUUUAAUCAGAAAUAAAAUCAUUUAAUUACUCUCUUAAGCUAACUGAUUAUUAAAACAGCUGAUGCCUGGUCAUAUAUUAGUAGAAAGCCAACAAUUA
rnacentral:misc_RNA from 1 species